rnacentral:rRNA from 1 species
CGGACGGGUGAGUAAUGUAUGGGGAUCUGCCUGAUGGCGGGGGGUAACUACUGGAAACGGUAGCUAAUACCGCAUAAUGUCUACGGACCAAAGCGGGGGACCUCCGGGCCUCGCGCCAUCAGAUGAACCCAUAUGGGAUUAGCUUGUAGGUAAGGUAACGGCUUACCUAGGCGACGAUCCCUAGCUGGUCUGAGAGGAUGAUCAGCCACACUGGGACUGAGACACGGCCCAG